rnacentral:misc_RNA from 1 species
GCAGAUGCGUGGUCCUCUUCCAUCAUGACACCAACCCCAGAGUCAGACUGUCUAGAACUGUCAACAGAUAUCCCUAAAGCAGUAGUUUCUGUAUCCAAAGUUGGCACAGUUGAAGCUAACUUUUCUUAUGAGCUUUGGCUUUUUGGAACCUCCUCAUGAGUCUUAUUUACUACAGGUACAAUUGGUCAAGUUCUCCAUUCAUUCCUAGAAGACUCACCAAUUUUCCUUUUU